UUUGAUUCUGGCUCAGGAUGAACGCUAGCUACAGGCUUAACACAUGCAAGUCGAGGGGAAACGAUAUUGGAAGCUUGCUUCCGGUAGGCGUCGACCGGCGCACGGGUGAGUAACGCGUAUCCAACCUGCCCAUCACUUGGGGAUAACCUUGCGAAAGUAAGACUAAUACCCAAUGAUAUCUCUAGAAGACAUCUGAAGGAGAUUAAAGAUUUAUCGGUGAUGGAUGGGGAUGCGUCUGAUUAGCUUGUUGGCGGGGUAACGGCCCACCAAAGCGACGAUCAGUGGGGGUUCUGAGAGGAAGGUCCCCCACAUUGGAACUGAGACACGGUCCAAACUCCUACGGGAGGCAGCAGUGAGGAAUAUUGGUCAAUGGGCGAGAGCCUGAACCAGCCAAGUAGCGUGCAGGAUGACGGCCCUAUGGGUUGUAAACUGCUUUUAUAAGGGAAUAAAGUGAGAGUCGUGACUCUUUUUGCAUGUACCUUAUGAAUAAGGACCGGCUAAUUCCGUGCCAGCAGCCGCGGUAAUACGGAAGGUCCGGGCGUUAUCCGGAUUUAUUGGGUUUAAAGGGAGCGUAGGCCGGAGAUUAAGCGUGUUGUGAAAUGUAGAUGCUCAACAUCUGCACUGCAGCGCGAACUGGUUUCCUUGAGUACGCACAAAGUGGGCGGAAUUCGUGGUGUAGCGGUGAAAUGCUUAGAUAUCACGAAGAACUCCGAUUGCGAAGGCAGCUCACUGGAGCGCAACUGACGCUGAAGCUCGAAAGUGCGGGUAUCGAACAGGAUUAGAUACCCUGGUAGUCCGCACGGUAAACGAUGGAUGCCCGCUGUUGGUCUGAAUAGGUCAGCGGCCAAGCGAAAGCAUUAAGCAUCCCACCUGGGGAGUACGCCGGCAACG
rnacentral:rRNA from 1 species